rnacentral:rRNA from 1 species
CAGUAGCCACGGGAAUUCGAGGGGGGCAAGCGUUGUUCGGAAUUAUUGGGCGUAAAGGGUGCGUAGGCGGCUUGACAAGUCUUGUGUGAAAUCUAUGGGCUCAACCCAUAGUCUGCACGGGAAACUGUCGGGCUUGAGAAUGGGAGAGGUGAGUGGAAUUUCCGGUGUAGCGGUGAAAUGCGUAGAUAUCGGAAGGAACACCCGUGGCGAAAGCGGCUCACUGGACCAUUUCUGACGCUGAUGCACGAAAGCUAGGGGAGCAAACAGGAUUAGAUACCCCAGUAGUCCCUGUCUCUUAUAC